rnacentral:rRNA from 1 species
UACGUAGGAGGCAAGCGUUGUCCGGAGUUACUGGGCGUAAAGCGCACGCAGGCGGUCGGGUCAGUCUGUGCUGACAGUGUCCGGCUUAACUGGACAAGCGGUAGAGAUACUGCCCGACUUGAGGGCUUCAGAGGGAUGGGGAACUCCAGGUGGAGUGGUGAAAUGCGUAGAUAUCAGGAGGAACACCGGUGGCGAAGGCGGGUCUCUGGGGCCGAUACUGACGCUGAGGAGCGAAAGCGUGGGGAGCGAACAGG